AGUAUCUUAUUGCUCCCAAAUCGUCUGUUUGUCCAUGCUAAUAUCUUGGUUUUAAUGUUAAUGCUCAUCAGUUGUACCUAAAUUCCGAAGGGAGGAAAGUAUAAUGAGGCAUGUGUAAUGACCACUCCUUCCCAUCAUGGCCUGAGCUAGUUUUUCAGGUUUCUUUGGAAACCCCUUGGUGGGGAGGAGGAUCCAUUCAGUUCAGAGAGUGGGAAUUUUUAUUGUCUUUUAUUUUGGUUUCUUAACGUUAUUUUGUUUCUUAAACUUUAGCAUGGAUAAAAAUAAAUGAAAAUGUUUUAAAAUUACUAGUAAUCUAUAUUUUGAACCAAAUCUGCAAGUGGUACUGAAGUAGAGUUUCUGUGGACCACACUUUUGAAAAACCCUAUAUUACAGGAUAAGUAAUAUUCCCUGGGUCCCACAGCUAGAAAGUGGCUGAGCAAGAUGUAAAUUUAGGUGUGUCUCAUUCCUGCUGCUCUCUCCAUACUGGCCUCCAUGAUGCUUUGUACUUGAAUGAAGGUUCAAUGAUUACCUUGCUUGUCUUAGACAUCUAAUUCUAUAUCUCUAUCUGACAUCUUUACAAUUAGUAUUAGCCUUCUGUAACUUUGUACUUUAAAAAGUUUUAAACAUAAUACAUAAUUUUUUUUCUGUUCAUAAUAAUCAAUAUAAAGAUAUACAAAGCAAAUAUCCAAGAACCAUUUAGCCCUUUCUUUUUGCCCUCCCCUGGAUAACUGCUGUUCCCAGUUGAGAUUGCAUUUUUUUUUAAUGUGUGUAUUUUUUUAUAUAAUGUAUAACUUUAAAAACAUUAAUGCAUUGAGUAUUUUACUGCAUAUCAAUUUCUUUCCUUAGCAUUUUGAAUGAAUUCACUUUGGAAUCCUCAUAACACCUUGUGAGUCACUAUUACCAUGUGUCUUUAUCAGGUAUCCAGGAAGCUGAGAAAUAGAGGUCAUAAAACUGAUUGGUAGAAGAACAAUAUUUGGACCGAAUAGUUUGACUCUAGAACUCUUAUAUGCCAUACUAAGGUGUUCCUUAAUUCAGCAAUGAAAAACAUAUGUUCUAAGUAUUCAUAUGUGACUUUCAGAAAAGUUAAGUAUAUCUUCAAGAUACUAUCUUGUCAGUAAUGACAAAUCUACUUCAUCCUUUUAAAUGACUGUAUAGUUUUCCAGAGUAGGAAUGUGGUAUAAUUUAUUGAAUUAUCAUCUUACUGAUGAACACUUAACCUCCUAAAAUAUACAACACUUCCCCAAAUACAACAAAUCCCCCCCCGACCAAAUUUUUCACUUUUAUAAACAAUACAACAACAAAAUGCCUUAUUGUACAAGUGGGAGAAUUUUUUCAGGUCAGUUGAUUUUAAAGUGAAUUCAUAGCCUACCUACAUCUGAGAUCACCCAGGGUGCUUCUUUUAAAAUGCAGAACAUACUUUCGAGGAACACAUAAUCAUCACGUUGUAAACUCUUUCAGAACCUGGAGAAAGAUAGAAAUCUUCUUAAUUUAUUCUUAAAGCUAUAGGAUUGAUUGUAAAAAUUAGAUAAAGGCAUCACAAAGAAGAAAAUUAAAGGCUAAUCUCAUUGAUAUUGAGAAGAAGUCUUAGCAGAUCAAAUGUACCUAUGCUUCCAAAGAAUCACAAAUUAUAGUUAAAUAGGAUUUAACCCCAGGAAUGCAAAGAUAGUUCUAGAACCUCAGAAACAAAACAAAAACACUAACA